UUGGCUGUUCUGGCCUGCGAGCAACCUCCCGGAAAAAACCCUAAAGCUUUGCACAGCUCGGGGCUGUCUGGGUCCACUAGGCUCUCCCGCCUAAUAAAGACUCCUCUCGUGUUAGACAGUCUGGUUCGGUUCUGUGUGGGUCUCGGUUCGAUCGUUUAGUGCCGAGACCCAGGAGGGACACCAAGGCACCCGCCGGUCCCUCCUGACCGGGGACCGCUCCCCAGCUCCACGUGCAACCACCUCUGAACGGAGCACGAGCCCCGGACCCGCCACACUGCUGAUGCCGCCAUCCACCCAGGCCGUCUCUGUCCUCUCAAGAGGGGCCCUCCGCCCCAGCCCAGCCUCCCACGCCACAACCGUCUCUGAUGGACUUGCUGGGGCUAGCCAGAGAGGACUGACUGGGCCUGGGUUCCCACACCCCCACUGAAGAGGCAGACGAGGUCCUGCUGACAUCUGAGGAGCCCAGGGUACGAGUCCAGGUGGCAGAUCAGUGCCUACCUAAACCUGACAAAACCUCAGUGACUCUACGGGUCCAGCCUGGUGACCAGGUGCUCCUCAAGGAUUUAUCGGCCUCAGCUCCUCAUCCAUGCUGGUCAGGCCAUUCACUGUGGUCCUCAGCACACCAACUACCGCCAAGCUUCUCAAGAAGCCAGCCUGGGUCCACCUCUCUGCUCUCAAGAGGGCGCCCACACCGGCCGAUCCACAGCCAGAUAAGCCCUCCUGGUCGUCCCAGGUGCUCUCUCCCACUAAACUUCUCCUAAGGCACUCCGAUACCUUAGACUCCAUCCCAGAAUGAGUCCCAUUCUCCUUCUCCCUUUCCUCCUGGGGGUUCAUAUGCUACCCAAUCUCCAACGUCCCCGUUGGCGUUUCUGGGCCAAGUCCACCAGUGGCAACACGCUCACGUUUACUGACUGCCCUGUCGCAGGCUGUAGUGGGCCAAUUACCCUAAACGUCGACGCCUGUGCAGAGUCUGUCUGCCACAUCCACAGCUCUACCAGUGCACACAACCUAAACCGCGAACGCGGCUUUACCCCUUGUAACAAAUAUGCUUGUUUCUCGAGCGCCGACUGGGCCCCUGGGUACUGUCCCUCCUACUGCUCCACCUGGUCAGACGUUAAAGCCUACCAAGGAUACUACUCCUCAACAACCUGGCCUUUCAAAUUUGCCAUUGGCCAACCAAAUCCCGGGGCUUGCCUCUUUGCAGGAUACCGAUUCUCAAAUCAGAGCUGUCUCUCGGACCAGUGUAACCCCACCUACAUCACCAUCCAAAAUCCCUGGGACACUCCCUGGGAGACUAAGGGCAUCUAUAUAUACCUCCGUAUAGAUGUCCAUGGUACAGACCCUUGCCUCACGCUCAAUAUCUACCGAGAAUUAUAUACCCCCCCACCUUUAUCGCCAAGGCUCCAAAGAUUUCAAACAAAACUCAACUCCUCCCUACUCCACGCCCCUUCCCUAACUAACUUCACCCAGAUUCUCUUUCAGGCUAUUCAUGCGACUCCCUCUAACUUGUCAGAGAGCUAGAUCUGCACCUCCCUGCUAGACCCCACAGUGACCAUUAUCCCCUGGUAUCGUAACUCCUCCACGAUAUGCUCUACCCAAAGCUCCCUGCGACAGACCCCCCAGCUCUAUCUUCUCCCAGGGGCUAAUCUCACUUGUUACAGAAAGUUCAAAACUGACAGUUCUAUACCCUGCAACCAAACCAUCACCUCACCCCCAAGUUCUUCUACCCCAGCUACACAUCCCCGUUAUUUCCUAUCCAACUCCCAGCUCCUCUCCUGUUAUCAUCCCAACAUGACCUGCCUCCCCGUCCUUCCCCUUCCUAAUCUGCAGAUCUAUACCAACUCUGAGUUCACAGAAUAGUUCCUCCACUCACCUGGGUGCUCUCAGGGCAGCGUUUCUAUCGGGGUUGUCCUGGGAGCUUCUGUUUUGGUGGCAGCCCUUGGGACAUCCGCCUUGGGUAUAUCCAUAGGCCUCAGCCUUCAGCUCAGUAAACAGCUGGCUAACCACAUUGACCAUGUCUCCUCCACCUUCAAUUUAGUCUAUUCACAGUUAGACCAACUAGCAGCCGUCGACCUCCAAAAUAGGCACACCCUCGACCUCCUCCCAGUGGAGAGGGGUGGAACUUGCCUGUUUCUGGGAGAAAAAUGCUGUAUUUAUGCCAACCAGUUGGGUCUCGUCCAAGAAAAAAAUCCAACAGAUGCAAGACCAGGCCCAUCUCCUCUGCUGAGGGCUUUCUUCUGCUGCUCCAGGAAGCUCUGGGUUAUGGACAUCCCUUCUCCCACAGCUGCUCCCACUCCCCUCACGGCAAUCUGCCUUCUCCUCCUUGCAGCCCCCUGUGCUAUCUCCCUCGUUUGCAACACUGUCCAAAAACUAACAACCAAAAAUUUUAACCUUAUGCCUCUUUCAGAUCCCCAAUUCCAGCCGGUAGUUCUAGAGGACCCAGAUGAGUCCCCUUGACACUGCCCCAGUCCAGCAGGAAGUAGUCACUGAGGAGACACUUCACCCUUGUCCCUAUUAGAUCAAGUCUGGGAUGAUAAGUCUCUGAAAGGACCCCCCCCCCACCCCUUGCAAAGAGAAAAAGCGCCCAGCCCCAGGUGCCCUGCCCACUCUACUUCACUUCCCUAAUGGGCCCAACUGCAAAGGCUGACCCCACCCAUAAAAGUACCAGAUGUUCUUGCAAAAUCAACUGCUCUAACCACAAAACCUCUUUCUUGGCUGUUCUGGGCCACGAGCACCCUCCCCCCAAAAAAACCCUUAAAAAUCCAAAGCUUUGCGCAGCUCAGGGCUGUCUUGGUCUGCUAGGCAGCCCACUGCAUUGCUCUCCUGCCUAAUAAAGACUCCUCUUGUGUUAGA